AGAGUUUGAUCAUGGCUCAGGACGAACGCUGGCGGUGUGCUUCACACAUGCAAGUCGAACGAGGUAGCAAUACCUAGUGGCGGACGGGUGAGUAACGCGUAGGAAUCUGCCUUCAAAUGGGGGAUAGCAGACCGAAAGGUCUAUUAAUACCGCAUACGUAUGUAUUUCGACAGAUUUACAUAUAAAAGGAGUAAUCCGUUUGAAGAUGAGCCUGCGUCCGAUUAGCUAGUUGGUAGGGUAAUGGCCUACCAAGGCGACGAUCGGUAGGUGGUCUGAGAGGAUGAUCACCCACAAUGGGACUGAGACACGGCCCAUACUCCUACGGGAGGCAGCAGUGGGGAAUUUUGUGCAAUGGGGGAAACCCUGACACAGCGACACCGCGUGAGCGAAGAAGCCCCUUGGGGUGUAAAGCUCUGUCGGCUGGAACGAAAAAAAUGACGGUACCAGCAGAGGAAGCAUCGGCUAACUACGUGCCAGCAGCCGCGGUAAGACGUAGGAUGCGAGCGUUGUCCGGAUUUAUUGGGCGUAAAGAGUUCGUAGGUGGUUUGUUAAGUCUGAUGUUAAAGACUGAGGCUCAACCUCGGAAAUGCAUUGGAUACUGGCAGACUUGAGUGUAGUAGAGGCAAGCGGAAUUCCAGGUGUAGCGGUGAAAUGCGUAGAUAUCUGGAAGAACACCAGUGGCGUAAGCGGCUUGCUGGGCUAUAACUGACACUGAGGAACGAAAGCCAGGGUAGCGAAUGGGAUUAGAUACCCCAGUAGUCCUGGCCGUAAACGAUGGAUACUAGGCGUAGCGGGUAUCGACCCCUGCUGUGCCGCAGCUAACGCGAUAAGUAUCCCGCCUGAGUAGUACGGCCGCAAGGUUGAAACUCAAAGGAAUUGACGG
rnacentral:rRNA from 1 species